AGCGAACGCUGGCGGCAGGCUUAACACAUGCAAGUCGAGCGGGCAUCCUUGUGGUGUCAGCGGCAGACGGGUGAGUAACGCGUGGGAACGUGCCCUUCGGUUCGGAAUAACUCAGGGAAACUUGAGCUAAUACCGGAUACGUGCGAGAGCAGAAAGGUUUAUCUGCCGAAGGAUCGGCCCGCGUCUGAUUAGCUAGUUGGUGAGGUUACGGCUCACCAAGGCGACGAUCAGUAGCUGGUCUGAGAGGAUGAUCAGCCACACUGGGACUGAGACACGGCCCAGACUCCUACGGGAGGCAGCAGUGGGGAAUAUUGGACAAUGGGGGCAACCCUGAUCCAGCCGUGCCGCGUGAGUGAUGACGGCCUUAGGGUUGUAAAGCUCUUUUCUCCGGGACGAUAAUGACGGUACCGGAGGAAUAAGCCCCGGCUAACUUCGUG
rnacentral:rRNA from 1 species